AAUGAGCCUCACUGUUACGACACCAAGCCAAUUCUUCCUUCUUAUAGAUACUGAUCCGACUUCGACUCUUAAAGGAACACUGCAUGGAUUGUGCACAUGAAUUUUGAUCACUCUUUCCUCUGAUAACAUUCACAAAAUUCAUGUUUCGAGCUUCCCUCAAACAGAGUUCACGGAUCACAUCAUGCAUUCCACAUCUCUCUAUUUCCCCAUCAAAACUCAAAUUGUGGAUAGAAAUUAGACUUCUAUCUACAAGUUCGUUUAUACAUGUUUCUGCCACCUCUUCUAUGCUUUUUCCUUCUUCUUCAUUCAAAAACCCCUCUACGGCCCAUAACUCAACAAGUGCAUUUACAUAAAUCCGUUCAUCCUCUGCGAAAAUUGCAAAAUACAGAAAACACGGUUUUAGGUGAGAAGGCAAGUGAUGGUAACUCAAAGCCAACACUCUCAUGCAUUUUGCUUCAAGAUCUCUGCUUACCACCGAACUUACAUUCUCCGCAACAUUUUGCCACUCAUCCAAUGUUUUACUGAUUUUGGAGAGAAGUCCAGCAAUCAAAGUAAUUUCUAGAGGUAACCCUCCACAUUUUAAUGCAAUUUGUUUCCCAAUAUUUUCAAAUUCAGGAGAAUAAGAACCUUCUUUUUCAAAGAUCUUUUUGUGUAGUAAAUUCCAACUUUCGUCAAAAUUCAUGAGGCGCAUNNNNNNNNNNNNNNNNNNNNNNNNNNNNNNNNNNNNNNNNNNNNNNNNNNNNNNNNNNNNNNNNNNNNNNNNNNNNNNNNNNNNNNNNNNNNNNNNNNNNNNNNNNNNNNNNNNNNNNNNNNNNNNNNNNNNNNNNNNNNNNNNNNNNNNNNNNNNNNNNNNNNNNNNNNNNNNNNNNNNNNNNNNNNNNNNNNNNNNNNNNNNNNNNNNNNNNNNNNNNNNNNNNNNNNNNNNNNNNNNNNNNNNNNNNNNNNNNNNNNNNNNNNNNNNNNNNNNNNNNNNNNNNNNNNNNNNNNNNNNNNNNNNNNNNNNNNNNNNNNNNNNNNCAUGUUCAGGUAAACUGACAAGUGAGCUAGUUUGUGGUUUUAGAUCUUUCAUGCUGUCCGAUGCUGCCAUCCACUGUUUCACGGUGGAAUCAAUGUAUUCUAGUGCUUGUUCCAAGACGAAAAAAAUCUCCCACAUAGCCCUGCUUCUUUCCUCCAAAUUCUGUGCUAAAAAAACAUUUCUUGAUUCCGAGUCAACCAUAUCUUCUGUUGUGUAUGCUACCUCUGCGAUUUCAACUUCCAAGAUUGUUAACCCCUCAUGAUCGCCCAUUAUAUUGCAGGAUUUCUCCAGAAUAGCUCUCAAAGAUUUGAGCUUUUCAUAAAACGGUUGCAAAUCACAUCCAGUAAGUUCCAUUGAUUGAUGUAUGGUUCUCAUAAGGGAAGUAACAGCAGCAUAAGCCAUAUAUCCAAAAAAUAGAAAUAUCUCUCAGUAUGAAAAUGGACAAAUUGCCACAAGUUAUGUAAUUUUUCAGUUUUUAAGAAAACAGAAAAUGCAAAGUUCUUUCUUUUACUAGCUAUUUCCAUCACAUUUCCAGCUAGGUCCACCAACCUUAUCAUCAUGUAGACAAAAGCAGAGACCAAAGUUAAAAAAAAGUAGAAAAAUUUGUGAUCAUUCAUUAUUAGACCGUACACAUAUCUAUUCAUGAAUAUAAGUAUGCUUCUUACAUACAAGAGAUUGAUGAUUUUAAUUACAUUGAAAGCAACUUAGUAGAAUUUUCCAAAUCAAAGAGAGAAAUAUUAAGAUCCAAGUAGGAAUUUCUCUAUUCCUAGUUCGAUUCAAUUAACCAAGCAUAAAUAUCUCUUAAUAUACAUGAGAAGUUUAGACUCUAAAAGUCAAAUCAACAAAAUAUUUAUGGGCUAACACAUGAAAAACUAUUGAGAAAAUCGCCUAAUUUCUGUAAAUUGGCCCUUAAAUCUCCAAAAUGAACUCUAAAAAUUGUCAGACUGUACGUAUUGCUCCCCAACUCCCUACUGAGGGUUCUGUAAAGAUUUCGAUUAGAAUUCGUCCGUAAGUCAUAUCACCAAUAUAUUAAUGACUAACACACACGAAAAACUGAGAAAAUUGUCUAAUUUCUUGAAAUUGGCCCCUAAAUGCCUAAAAUGGACUCUAAAAGUUGUGAGACUGUACGUACUGCUCCCCCGACUCCCUACAGAGGGUUUCGUAAAUGUGUAGCAAAGAAAUCGUCUGGAAGUCAUAUCACUAUAAUAUUAAUGGGCUAACACACACAAACCACUGAGAAAGUCGCGUAUUCCUGUAAAUUGGCCCCUAAAUGCCCAAAAUGAACUCUAAAAUUGUGAGACUAUGUACUGCUCCACUAACUCCCUAUGGAGGGUUCCGUAAAGAUUUCACAAAGAAAUUAUUCGGAAGACAUAUCACCAAAAUAUUUAUGGGCUAAUACAUUUUUAUUUGUCCAUUUGAUUUGACAUAUCUUUCAAGUACUUUGAUCUGGUUAUACUUUUUUUUUAUUGCUAAAAAUAAAUAUCCACUUUUACUUGUUCAUUCUACAAAACAAAGACAAUAUUUUAUUGCUUGAUUCAGAUAUAAAAUUUGAGUAGGCUAAUUUACAAACCAUCUGUAGUCAUCCUGCCCCUAUGCUAUAACAUUUGAAAGAAAGAGGUCAUCAUCAUCAUAUUCAUCAUCGUUGUCAUCUUCAUCAUCAUCUUCAUCAUCGUUGUCAUCUUCAUCAUCAUCUUCAUCUUCUUCAUCAUUAUCAUCAUCAUCAUCAUGAUCGUCAUCGUCACUUGUUUCCUCACUGUUGAAAAAGCCAGCAACAAAAGAUGAAAAAUGAAAUGUUAUGCAAGUAUAACAAGUUACACAAUUACUAUAUUGGAAGGAUUUAAAUCAUAUACAAUGACAACGUAUGAACUUUUACACUAUAGGUGCCAUUUAACUGCUUAUUAAAGCAAUUUAUAAUUAUUUUAUUACUAGUUCUGGACACGUGCUUUGCAUGUGUAUAUUACACGUUUAGUCACGAUUGUAAGAGGGUGUACACCAGGAUCAUUCGAAGAGCAAAGUCGUGUGAGCCUUACAGAUAUUCUUGACGUACUCCUAUUAAAAUCUGUAUCAUAUUCGUAACUUUUUGAAUGAGGUUCACCUUUUUCCUCAUUGUACUUUGUACAUGGAUGUUGUCCAUCACAAUAUCCCCUUUUUCAAAUUUCAUAGCUGAACUACUAGGUGUACGAGUUCCUACCAGAACUACUACCAACUAUUUAUCAAAACACACAUCAACUAUAUAUGAGUUGUUCCCUUUUACUAGUGGUGACAAAUAGGUGGAUUUGGACGGGACUGAAAAUGGAUUGAGCAACAUGGUCGUAACUCACUUAAUCUCUUAAAGCCAGAAAACUUUAAAGAGUUAAUUGAAAUAAACUUAAUGACUAUCCUACUUGAAGUAUCACCGUCGUUCAGGUAAGAAAAAGGAAGUAUAUCAAGGAAGAAGAUGUCUUACAAAGCCUGAUGGAUAUGGACCUCGAUAGAACCUCCAUAGUUGUCUUGAAUGUCCUGUUGAAUCUGCUUUGCGGAAUUCCCAACAGAUUCUGGGCAGUUUCUUAUAUAGAUUAGAGCAAGUGUGGUUAUAUCUGCAAAAUCUUGAGGGAUUGAGUCCAAAAACCUGCAACUAUCAAGAAAUAGUCGUUCAAGGCACGGAAAGUGAUCACAACUAGCUCUCCAGUACUGAAUAUGUGAUCUUUUAAGUAACAAGAACUUCAAAAAAGGAAACCCUUCCUCAGCUACUUCCCACUCCCUGCCUCUGCAUACACCCUGUGUUAGUUCAAGAAGUUCAAGUUUGGGCAAUUUUCCGACAACAAUGCUUAAAUCCUUCCAUGACAAGAAGAAAUUUCCUGUAAAAGUUAAAUUCUUAAGGUUUCGUGGAAAAGCAUCUGGAGGAGGUAAGAUCAAAGAUGGAACAACUUCUACAACAAGUGGAUUCCUUGUCUGAAAACACAUUCUCCUCUCCAAAAAGUAAGCAUUAUUUUGAGGAGGAAGACAAAAUGCUAGUUCCUCGAGAUGAUCUAAGUAGCGAAAAUCAUAGAGGUCUUUGUGACUAUGGAAGUCUUGUGGGAUGCCACGUACUUGCAACUCCUUUAAAUUGGGAAAUAGUCUAAAGAAAGAUGCAGUACAAUAGCUAGGAUUCCAUCCAAACAGAGAAUGUAAAUUUUUCAUAACCAAACUUUUCUCUGUAAGCUCAUGAUAUCGCAAGUAAUUCCGAUCCAAAUGAAGGUGCCUCAACUGUGGCAUUGUCAAAAUAUCUGAUGGUAAUAUCAAAGCAUGUUUACGAAGAUUAAUGACGAGUGGAAGGUAAAGUACCAAACUUUGCAGAUAGCAUAGGUUUGAUAUGGAUGUAGGAAUGUCUACUCUUGAUGAGAGAACAUCUUCUUCGGAUCCUAGAUAUUGCUCAACGUUAGGAUAAAUACGCAAAGCUAGGUGUCUUAAGUGAAUCAAAUAAAGUAUUUCACGGGGAAAAGUUAGACAGAUAUUAUCAGCAAGAUCUAGAACUCUUACUAGCUUGAACGGCAAGUACUCCCUCAUGCAACAUCGGAAUCUACCAAAUAAGAUAACAGAAUGAGCUUCACUGUUAAGGCACCUAACAUACUCUUUCUUAUUAUGGAUGCUGAUUCGACUUCGACUCUUAGACAAACACUGCAUGGAUUUCACAUAUGAAUUUUGAUCAUUCUUUCUUCUGAGAACAUUCACAAAAUUCAUGUUACGAGCUUCCAUCAAACAGAGUUCACGAGUCAUAUCAUGAAUUCCACAACACUUAAUUUUUCCAUCAAAAGUAGUACUUUUAAUGGAAAUUAAACUUCUAUCAAUAAGAUCUUGUAGGUACUUUUCUGCCACUUCUUCUAUGCUUUUCAUCUCUUCUACCUUCAAAAAUCCCUCUGUUUCCCACAAUAUCAUAAGUUUAUUGACAAAAAUCAGUUUAUCCUCUGGGAAGAUUGCGAAAUAUAAAAAGCAUGGUUUUAGGUGGUGAGGCAAGUAAUGGUAACUCAUUGCCAACACCCUCAUGCAUUGGACACCAACAUCUGUGCUUACUGCUGAACUUACAUUUUCAGCAACACUUUGCCACUCACUCAAUGCUUUGUCAAUUUUAGUGAGAAGUCCCGCGAUCACAACAAUUGCUAGAGGCAAUCCUCCGCAUUUCAAUGCAAUUUGCUUUCCAAGUUGUUCAUAUUCAGGGGAGAAAGAGUCUUUCGUAAAGACUUUUUCAUAUAAUAAAUUCCAACUUUCGUCAAAAUUCAUGAGGCGCAUGUGAUGAGGAAGCUUACCUGAGCUAGCAUAUUCAGCCACUUCCACAUUCCGAGUAGUCAAGAGUAUUCGGCUUCCAUUAUGAAAGUCUGGGAAACAUAUUUGUAUAUCAUCCCAAGCUUUUGUAGUCCAUAUGUCAUCAAUGACUACCAAAUAUCUCUUGCCUUUUAGAAGCUUUUGCAGUCGAUCUGCUAGUUGCCCGUCAUGUAGCUGAUCAUAAGGUUUAUCACUUAUACAAGAAAGAAGGUCUAGGAAAACAUUUCUCACACAAUACUCUUGUGAAACAGUAGCUUUUGCACGUAUGUCAAAGCGAUACAUCAUGCAUGGAUCGUUGUAGAGUUUUGUUGCCAAAGUUGUCUUGCCAAUGCCUCCCAUACCUACAAUUGAUACAACUUCUAGUUCUCUUUCUCCUCUAGCAAGUUGAUCCAGCAUCAUCUUGAAUUCAUUUUCAUAGCCAACCAUUAUAACCUCGGACCGCUCAACAGCAAGUUCAGGUAUCUUGGAUAGACAGAAAUUUUGUGCUUUGAAAUCUUUAAUGUUGUUGUACCAGUCCCAUAUUGCCAACCACUGCAUCAUGAAGGAAUCAAUACAUUCUACCUCUUGUUCCAAGGAACAACAGAGUUCCCAGAAAGCUUUGCUUCGUGUAAUUACAGUUUCUGCAGAAGAAACUUUUCUUGAUUUCGAAUCAACCAUGUCUUCUGCUUUGAAUGCUACCUCCGUGAUUUCAACUUCCAAGGUUGUUAACCCCUCAUGAUCGCCCGUUAUAUUGCAGGAUUUCUCUAGAAUAGCUCUCAAAGAUUCGAGCUUUUCAUAAAACGGUUGCAAAUCACAUCCAUUAAGUUCCAUUGAUUGGUGUAUGGUUCUCAUAAGGGAAGUAACAGCAGCAUAAGCCAUAUAUCCAAAAAAUAGGAAUCUCUCACUCUCAGUAUGAAAAUGGACAAAUUAAUUGCCACAAGUUAUGUAAUCUUUCUUUUACUAACUAUUUCCAUCACAUUUCUAGCUAGGUCCACUAACAGGAUAAAGUAGAAAGAUGUGAGGUCACUAACCUUAUCAUCAUGAAGACAAAAGAAGAGACCAAAGUUAAAAAAAAAAAAAGACGAAAAAGUAGAAAAAAUUGUGAUCAUUCAUUAUUAGACCCUACACUAAUCUCUUCAGAAAAAUAAAAUAAAAUUUUAGUUUAAAUAAAGGAAUUCAAGCUGUAUAUUGAUAACGUCCAAUUCAAAUUCAAGUGUAGUACGGUCUAGCAAUAAUAAACUCAACAAAAGUUGGAGUCGAGGAGUACGCUUGUGUCAAGGUGACAGAGAGUGUGCGAAUUUGCUAACAAACAAAAGGUCUUUCUUUUAGCUAGGUCCAUAAUCCAUGUAGUGCUCUAUACUCUCUAGUCUCUAUCAACCAGCUCAAGUUUAAGGGUGUGUUUGGUAUGGAGGAAACAUUUUCUCUAGAAUAGGGAGAGAUUUGUGCAUAAACAAGGAAGAAUCUCUCAGUAUAACAGUGAAUGGGUAUUUUUUUAAGAUUUGCUUCUUUUGUGUAUGACUUUUGUAAGAAACAUUCUGGUAAAAGUUAAAAAAAAUGAUCUUGUGGAAUAGCCACAGUGAAUUCCUUAAUAUUCGAGUAGAAAAAGCCAGAGAGGAUAACAUUGCUAUUUGUACACUUAUCGUGACACGAGUAGUCUCUUAAAUAUUACACCUUUCUACUGAUGUUGCUGAUGCCACUGGAUUUAGCCUUCCGUCUUCCUUUGCAAGGUAGAUCGAGGACUCCCAAGAAAGGAAACACAAGUUACUGGAGUCUGUUCUGGCCUAUACAGUAUGUAUGUACAUAAAAUUUGGAGUAUCUAAAAACCACUGACAAAUGGCUAUACGAAAGAUCAUAUACAAUUAAAUUACAAGCCAUUUGCAAUCAUCCUGCCCCUUUAUGCAGAAUCUUUUCAAAGAAAAUGAAAACGAACAAAACAAACACUCACACAUUUGGCUUCUGAUUUGACAUUUAUUUCAGAGAACUGGCUAGUCGCUGCAGGAAAAAAAAAGACGCAAAAAAUGGAAAAUAAUAUGUUAGAUGUCCCAUAAUUAAGGAACAAGAGAACAUUAUAGCAAGAAUGAGCAUGCAGGUAUAAGAACUUACACAUUAUUGCGGCAAGAAGCAACUUCUUUCUCAAAGUCAUCAUCAUCAUCUUCAUCUGUUGUUACACUAUCGAAAAUGCUAGCUACAAAAGAUGAAAAAUGAAAUGUUACACUUCCCAAAAUCAAGAAUGAGCAUGCAAGUAUAACAAGUUACACAAUAUUGGAAGGAUUCGAAUCAAUCACAAUGACAGCAUCAAGAACUUUUGUUGAAUUGGUGUAAUUUGACUUACUAAAGCUAUUAUCCAGAUUAUUAUCGAGUUUACUAUAAUGAUGAGUUAAAUAUUGUUGUAAAUCAAGGAAGAAGAUGUCUUACUAAAGAUUACGAGUAUGGACCUCGAUAGAGCUUCCAUAGUUGUCUUGAAUGUCCUGUUGAAUUUGCUUGGCGGAAUUCCCAACAGAUUGUUGACAGUAAUGUAUAUCAAUAAGAGCUAGUGUGGUUAUAUCUGCAAAAUCUCGAGGGAUUGAAUCCAAAUACUCGCAAUUUCUAAGAAAAAGUCGUUCAAGGUACGGAAAGUGAUCACUACUAGCUCUCCAGUACCGAAUGUAUAUUUGAUCCAGAAACAAGAACUUCAAGUGAGGAAACCCUUCCUCAACUACUUCCCACUCCUCGCCUAUGACGGCAUUGUGUGAUAGUUUAAGGACCUCGAGUUUGGGUAAUUUACCAACAAUGCUCAAAUCCUUCCAUGCCAAAAGGAAAUCUCCUCUAAAAGUUAAACUCUGGAAAAGAUUAAUUAACAAAAAUUUAUGGUACUAAUUGGGGUAUUAAUUAACAUAUCCUUACUUGAUCACAUAUGUAUUGUUCUGUGUGAAAUUUUCCUCUGACUGAUAGUUGACUAAAUUAUAUUGCAUACGUUCGUGUACAUUUUCUCACUUGGAAGAGUGGAUUUGGACGUAAUUAACUAUCACCAUCGUUUAGGUAGAAAAAAGAAAAUAACUAAUAGUUGAAUGUUUUAAUACAUAGAUGAUCAACUAAUAUGAGAAGAAAAGAGUAGCGUAAAUGUGAGAUUCACUUCUCACCAAGAAUCCUCCUUUCUUAUUAUUUUCCUUUUAGAGGUUAAUAAUUAUUAAGUAUCCCUAGAAUAAUUUAUUGAAAAAGUAGAUUUGAAAGAAAGCAAUUACUCUCUUCUUCCUAUGCGGGACUUCUUGAACAUAACUAAUUUGACAAAAACCACAAUUUUAUUUAUUUUUAGGUGGAAUUAUAUCAAUAAGGAACUAUAUAUGCUUAUGAUAUUAAUCUAAGACCAUUAUUUGUUACUUGAACACAUGGAUUCAUCAUCUGAACAAUUGAAACAAUUAAUACUUGUGUGAACCUUUUUUUAUUUCGAGUGAUGUGUCAUAAUCAUUAGCCAACUAAGACUAGCGUUAAAUUUUUGGUAAGUCUCAAGAAGUGUAAUUAAUACUUAAUAAAAUAAUCUCAUCCUUGAGAUUCAAGAACUUGUUUGGAUUGAAUAGGUUUUUAUCAUCAAGAUCUAGAACAAAGUCUUAAUAUUAGUAAGAGGUAUUUUUGUGUGAAAAGUUUUCUUUGAGGUUCGAGAAAUGGAAUAGAUAUGGACUACAAGUUGAUAUUUCCCAUUGGAAAAUUCACACAAAAAGGAACAAGGAAUUCUCAAUGAAAAAAGCGCUCUCCAAAUCUGUUUAGUAUUUGUCAUGAGGUUCUUAUCAUAAUUGGAUUUUCCUUUUAGGAAAAGGUAAACACAGUCUCCAUAUUUGUCUAGUUCUUUUUCUUGUAGGAAAAAAAUUAUGACUCUAUAAAUAGAUGUUUUGUAACAUCCGACAAUUUGAAAUAGCUAAGAAGAGGCUUGAAAUUUGGAAAUUUUCAAUUUUUGGAAAGGAUUUGAAAAUCUGGAAAAUUUGGCUAAGUAUGGGAAAGGUGAGUUUUUUUGGGCCCAAACUUUGAACAACCAUAAAUUCUAGCUCAGGAUGAGUUAGGUGGAGUUCCGGUUAUGUUUGCAUAGCCCUCGGAACGACCUUUCCAACGCCACUGAGUUUGCUCAAUUCUGAGUUCGUAUGAGCGAGUUAUGGCCAUUGAAAGUUGGGCAGUUGGCAGGGAAUCCGUCCGGAAAAUUAAGGGCAUUUUAGUCUUUUCCCUAGCCAAUUCUUUUGGGAUUAUAUUGUUGUAUAGGGCUGAUCUUUAGAUCAUUUUGUCCCAUUUUAAGAAAUUAAAAUCUAGGGCUUGAGAGUGAAGAAGAGAAGAAGGAGAAGAAGAAGAGAAAAAUCGAGGAGAUCAACAAGUUUCCGACAAGAUCAUCGUGAAUGUUCGUCGGGGGUGAUCCCUAUCAAGGUAUGUGAGCUUUUAGUGUUGGGUGAUACUUUCCCCCACACACCUAGCCCCUUUUAUUUAUUAAGGAAGGAUUGGUUAUGUUGUUAAAGUUGUUAGUUGUUGUGGUUGAAGUUGUUGGAGUUGUUAAAGUUGUUAGUUGUUGUUGUUGGAAUUAUUGUUGGUGGUGGGACAUAAUUGAGUUGUGUUUUUAUGUUGAAAUCUAUUGAAUGUUGAGGGAUUUUAUGUUUCUAAGUGAUUGGGGGCUGGAAUCUUUGAGGUUAGAGGGUUUAGAGUUGGUAACGUGAAGGAGAAAGUCGGGUAGCUUGCGAGGAGCAUGUCUGCGUCGCGGACUUGUUCCUCUGUGAACAAAAAAUCUUCUCCGCGUCGCGGACAGGACGCAGACUCCACUGUUUUCAGAAUUUAUGUUCGAAGAUUUUCUUAGGUUUGGCUGUCCCAAAUCAUUCGCAAAUCAUUCCUAAACAUCAUGAGACCCUUCCAAACACCAAUCAAGUCCUUGAAUCCAUAAUCCAAUUCAAGGUGAGUUAUGAUCAAGUCAAGUGAAGUUAGUUUUCAAGUCAAGUGAAGUUAGAAGUCAAGUGAAGUUAGAGCCAAGCUUAGAAGUUAAGCAAGUCAAAGCAAGUCUUUAAAGCUUUUCAAGAGUCUUCAUUGAACGUUUUGACUUCAUUCUAAGGCUCAAGUUCCAAGUUAAGUAUAGAGUUUCAAGUCAAGCAAAGAGUCUCAAGUUUCAAGUUAAGUAAAGAGUAUCGAGUUUCAAUUUAAGUCAUAAUUUUUCAGUCAAGAGUCAAGAGUUGAGUUCAAUUCUCAAAAGUAAUUAGGGAACUAAGUAUUUCCCAAAGAAGUUUUAUAAGUGUUUUCACAUUUAAGUUGAGAGGAAACGGAGAUUUCCAAAAGAGUUUUGAGAAGUUUGAGCACUAUCUCUUUUAAAAGAAAAGAUGAGUUUUUGAAAAAGAGUUUCUAAAUUAUGAUUAGUAUGACAAAUGGAGUAUGUCAUCAAUGUUUAAACAGUAUGGUCUCUAGAUAUACCAUCAAUGUUUAAGCAGUAUGAAUAUCCCGAGUCAUCAAUGAUCAUAAAAAAAAAAAAUGUGGUUUUGACUUGUUCUAUUUAGAAAGAGUUUUCAAGUGCCUUCGGGCUAAGUUUUGAGUAAUUAUCUCAACUAAAGAAAGAUGUGCUUAAAACACUUAUGAGCUAAAGUAUUUUGGGAGUAGUAUCGAGCACCGAAUUGGGGAAACGAGUUCAUAUUAAACUCAACUCUCCAUAAGAACCAUGUAGCCAAACAUGGGAUUUCUCGGAUCAUACUUUUUAGAUGAUCACGAAAGUUAAGCUAGUGGAUCCAUUAAGCAAAAGUUAAAGUAAGGUCCUAUAUCGAUGGCAAGGUAUAGGAUGGUCCUUGGGCAACGUGAGGUAAAACGUUGUAUCACCACUCAGAUUCAUAGUGGUGGUUUGUCGGUUAGAGAAGCUCCCACAGUAGAAAGAGCAUGGUUCCUCGAGGGUUCUGCUUAGUAUGGAUGGGGGUAUGGGACUUCAUUCAUGCAUUGCACAAGUAGACUUUGAGAGGAAGCAUGGUAUUUUUAUGAUAUUAUAAAUAUGAUUUUUACGUCAUGUUUUAAUAGUUUCAAAAGCUUUAUAUAUAUUGCAUGUGUCUCAUUGCUUUAUAUUAAGUUCAGUUAUUCUUGAGUUGUACAGAGCCAAGGUAAGUUCUCUUUUGUAUCCCUUUUCAAGCUUAAGUUGUUGUUUAGCGGUCCAGCUCGCAUACUCGUACAUUCCAUGUACUGAUGCCAGUUGGCCUGCAUCUUAUGACGAUGCAGACACNNNNNNNNNNNNNNNNNNNNNNNNNNNNNNNNNNNNNNNNNNNNNNNNNNNNNNNNNNNNNNNNNNNNNNNNNNNNNNNNNNNNNNNNNNNNNNNNNNNNNNNNNNCAGUCAGUUAGUUUUGAGUCUCUCAUCUAUGUAUAUAUGUAAAUAUUCUAUUUUGAGACUCGAGUGGCCUUUUUGGCCAGAUGUGUAUCAUUUAAGUUGUUUAUGUCUUUGCAUGGCAUUGAGUUAUUCUGUUGAGUAGGUUUCCGCUGAGUUAAGAAAGCCAGGCCAAGGGUUCGCUUGGGGCCAGCAAUGGUCUCUGAGUGCCGGUCCCGCCCAGGGUGUAGGCUCGGGGCGUGACAUGUUUAUUCAUUCUAGCUUGGUAGCAUUCAUAAUGCAAUCCUAGGGGGCUUUGAGAGUUUUGUGUAUUGUGUGAAGCUAGAGGAAGAAUGUAUGAGACACAAGUAUUACUUUAACACUUGUGUGAACCUCUUUGUAUUCAGAGUGAAUUGUGUGAGGUUAUUCUUCUCUAGAUUUUAUAGUGAUUUUUUCAUCUCCUCUUGUGGAUGUAGAUCGGUUGACCGAACCACGAUAAAUGUUUGUGUCUUUUGAUAUAUUUCUUGUUUGUCUUAUUACUCAUCGUCUUUCAAGGUUUGCUUUGCUAGCUUUUGCAUGACACCUAAUUAUUUCAGUCCCAACAAGUGACAUCAGAGUCAGGUUCAAUGGUUUAAUGAUUCAAUGGUCGAACCAUGUUAAAAAUAAGUGUUCAUCUUGACGGGUUUAGUUCUAGCCGUAACAUAUUUGACAGUAAUGAAGAUUUUUGUUGGAGAAAUAUUUUCAAAGAUGUUUUCUGUGUUGAUAUAUAUAUAUAUAUAUAUAUAUAUAGAUUUUGCAGAGGAGAUGCAAGGUAUUGAAGAUUAUGUGAAGAAGGUGGAUCAAAUUUAUUUUGUCAGAAAUUUAGGCCAAUGGAGAUAUUUGUUUAGUAUUUGUCAUGAAUUUCUUAUCAUAAUUGGGUUUUUUCUUUUAGAAAAAGGAAACCACAAAGUUUCCAUAUUUGGCUAGUUCUUUUUCUUGUAGGAAAAUGUUUGACUCUAAAAUUAUAUGUGUAUUCCUUCUAGCCUAAUAGCAUUUACAAUGUAGUCCUAAGGGGCAUAGAGAGUUUUGUGUAUUGCGUGUAGCUAGGGGGAGAAUGUGUGAGACACAAGUGUUACUUUAACACUUGUGUAAACCUCUUUGUUUUUCCAUUGAAUUGUGUAAGGUUAUUCCUCUCAAUAUUUUGUACUUUCUUUUAUAUAGUGAAUUGCUCAUAUCCUCUUUUGGAUGUAGGUCGGUUGUCCGAACUACGUUGAAUAUUUAUGUCUUUUGGUAUAUUUUUCGUUUGUAUUAUUACUCAUGGUCUUUCAAAAUUUGCUUUGCUAGCUUUUGCCUGAUACCUAAUAAUUUCAGUCCCAACAAAACCAAACGUGAAAGUUGUUUUCCAGCAGACAACUUUUCUAGUAGCUCUACUCUCGACUUGGAUAAUUUAACCAAAAAGGUACGCUUUCGGCCAUUCUACAUGCUGCCUAUGUAGAGACAUGUUUAUCUAAAGUGGAUUCUCUUUUUUGUAGUAGGUAUCAAACCUGUUAUGCCCAUUGACUAAGAAGCUAGGGGUGGACACAACAACUACAUGGACCUCUUUCUUACAUCGGCCAUCACUAUUAAUCGUCUUUGUUAUCACAAUGACCACCACUAUUACCGUCAUCAAACAUCUCUGUCCUCACAAUUACCAUUAUUAUCAACCACUACUAUAUAUCAAACAUUUGCUAUAUUUAUGUUUUUUAUUGACAUAAACAAUGGGUUAACAUGAUAUAAUUUAUUAGUAGUUUUAUAUAUUUUUCUUAUAAUAAAGGAAACAAUCACUUAUACAUUCUUUGAGAUCAUUUAGUUUAAAAUCAGGAGUGGAAUCAUAACUAGGGUUAUAGCUUAGCAUCAAUUCACCUUCUUAAUUAAUGGGAUAAUUUAAUUAGCUAAAUUUGAAUGAAAAGAAGAAGAAAUUGAUUAAUUUAAUUCGUUUACGUUCCAAUGGGGUGUGCAAUAUCCAUAAAUUUGUCAUGUCGUUAUUAGGUGUUCAUGAGAUGCACAUAUUCCAAGCAAAAGUACCUAUUUGAUCACUAGAUGAGUUUAAGUAUUCAAUUUACAAAUUCUGCCAAAUUUGAGGGACUAUCUAGGUAUUAUUUAGAUAAAAUUAUUUGUAUAGUCCACUCUAAACAUACUUAUAAUUAAGCAAGUAACAUAUACUAUAUAAAGAAGCUUCUAGAGAUAAUUAAAGUUAACUCUAUAUAAUUAGAGUUGCAAUAACAAAUACGUCAAAACAUUAAAGUGUUUCACCAAUAAAGUCAUUUUUUUAAUGUCCAAAACUAAUCCAAUGGAAGCUCUAUUAUGUGGAACACCAGAAGAAGUUUCAGUAUUGUUGGUACAUCAUGAAGUAGAAUUUCUUACUAAUCAGACUGUUAAAUUGUUAGAGGCUUAUAAAUACAAAGGUGACAUUCUAGAAUUUUUUUAACUUUUUUGUUUCUUUGAUAUAAUAACUAAAUGCCGUGUGACAUUUUUUUUUAUAUAUAGAGAGAGAUUGAAAUGAUAUGCUUUUUGUUAUCUCAUUUAUGAUUUUAGCAUCGUCCAUUUUUAAAUUUCAUUUAUCUUGUAAAUCUUGAACUUUUCUUUUUCCUUGUUAUCAUAGCACUUUUUAAUUUUUACAAAUUUAUCUAUCCUCGAAGAAAAAUAAUUCUACAUUAGUGAUGGAUGCACAAGAAAUUAGGAUGACGGGAGGGAAGAGAAAGAGCACGAAAAAGACAUGAUAAGAGAUGAUCUGUCUAUCAUUAUUACUUGAGAUAAUAUUUUUUUGUCUUUUAUUGGAUGUAUAAAAAAAAAUGAGGAGAUCUAAUUUUCAUUAAAAAAACAUUUCCCUUUCUAUUUUUUGUUUUUGUUUUUCGUUGGACGUAGACAAAAAAUUGGCAACUCCUUUCUUAUACUUUGUUAGAUCAUCUAAUUACAUAUCUAUGAAAUAAAAUUACCUCAAAACAUUUUAUCCUAUUAUCUUUUGCUUUAAUAUUUAUUUGUUUUUGACAAGCCAUAAAUAAAUUGGAAUAGUUUUUAGAAAUAUAUUCUUUAGGAUCUUCUCUAGUUUUUAGUAAUCCAAUUAACGAAAAAAAAAAACUAAUAUAUACUUUUUAUGUAACCAAUCUAGUUAAGAUUGCACUCAUCAUUUAUAAUAUAAGUUGAUUAAUAUGUGUUAUUUUAAAAAUUAAAGUGCAGAAAUAUAACAUGAAAAUUCACAGUUGAAUUUGAAUAACAAACAAACAUAUCCAAAUGAUACCUUUGUGUACAAUAUUUUUUUUUUCAUAAUUUUCACUGAUUUCAAAUUGCACGGGUAUAUGUAGUUACGGAAGUUAUGGCUCCUGCGGCAAUGUCAAUGCUUUUCAAAGAAAAGAAAAAAAUUGAUGCAAUGAUAAUCAAGGUCAUUUCACCGGAUUCACAUUGCUUUGAGCUCCUGGCACAAGCUGUAACCUUGAACAUCAUCGUAGUAAGUAAGUAUUUAUAAUUCUAUCUUCCACUUAUUAUUAUAGACGGUAAAGUAAGUUUUUUUAAUUAACUAUUGCAUAAUGUAUAUAAUAUUAUUCAAUUUUAAUUGCUAUCUUCUUGAUAUAAUUAUGCAGUUGUCUAUGAUGAACUCAAUGAAUUCUUAGUGAAGAAAGCUUUGGACAAUGGAGCUUACAUUUGCUCGAAGAAGCCUCUUGUCGAGCAAACUAUGACAUUCUUGUGGCAAUUUGUAUGGAGGGAGAAAACACAAAGAGGGAAAUCAAUAAAAAGAGUAGAAACAAAGGGAGAUCAUAUUUUUGUUUGAAGUUAUUGGAGUUCUGAGAAAACAAUAGGUCGUGGUUUUUUCCUCCCUUGAGCAAAGAGGUUUCCACGUUAACAUAUGUGUUCUUACUUUAAGCAUUUAGAUUACUUCUUGUUAUCAGUAUAGUCAAGUGGUCAGAACACGAGAAGACAUGUCACUAAACAACAACAUAUAUAGGAAAAAACAAACUCUGCUAAGUGAUCGAUCCGUGUGUGAUAGUUGCCUUCUUAACCUUGAACUAUUGCUUCCUGCUAGAUUAUAUGAACUUAGAUAUGUAUACAAAUUAGUAUUCAAUGAGUUCCCAAACAUUCGUGCAUAAACAAUUUCCCCUGUUGUCGUGCCACCAGGACUUAGCAUAUGUUCUGUAUUUGUAUAAUUUCGAUGAUGAUCAUGAGAUUGCUGGGAUAAUGGAGGCAUAUUAUUAUUGUGUAUUAGACCGUGACUCCUACAUCUCGAACUAGGAGGUCUUUGUGGUAUGACUAUACCAAAAUUCUAUACCAAAAUUCGGGGCCUUAAUUUCAGAUGUUUUUGUAGCUUGACAGCGACCAUAGAGUGGAAUCAAUGUUUUUUGUGAGACUUCAGCUUUGCAAACAGGGCAAUUUGGUUGUUGGUUAUCGAUGUUCUCUGAUGAAAUGGUCUUAAAAUGUAUCCAUUUGUAGAUGCAAGGCCAACAAUAGGAGGUGACCACAUAAUGUAACAACAGGAUCAUGUACAACAUCUAGGCAAAUGUUGCACUCGAAACCUCCAGGUGAAUUUUCUUCAAGUUUAUCAAGAUCAAUUGUCUCCAUUUUUCAAAGGAAAUAUCGCGUUGAUCAAAGGUAGUUUCUGCUAUUUGGUCUUGAAAAAUUUGUUCUAAGGCCAUAUUUGCCUCUUGGUAUUGAAUUAUUUUGGUAAUGGCAAGAUGAAGAAUGGUUAGAAUUCAGGUUUUUAAUACAAUUAGAAGUGAGUAUUUAUAAGGACAAAGAAUAGUAGUUUGCAAACAAUGAUUCUUAAGGUUGUCACUUGUCAACAUCACAUUAUGUUAAAGGGGCAUGGCCAAAAAGAAAAGGCCCUACACAUUAUUAAACAACACUAUAUCAUAUUACUCAACAGUCUUGAUUUAUGGGGUAUUGUUUGAUUUGAUAUAACAUUUAAUAAGAAAAUGAAGACUUUUAAAAUAUGUACUGUAUUAAAGAUAAAAAAUAAAUUUUAAGUUUUUCGAUCCUAGAAAUGAUAUUCUUUUUAUAUUAAGACUAAAACAAAUGUUUUACAUAAAUUAAGAUAGAUGAACUAUCAAACACAUCAUAAUUAAGUGAUUUAAUGAAGUCAAAAAUAAAUAUUAAUGGAUCAUGGUUAAGUGAGAGGAGUUUUGUGCAAACACGUCUUUUAUCUAUCUAUUUGAUUUAAACAAGCAUAAGUUUUAUCAUAUUAGAAAUAUGAUUAGGACCUUAUAUUAGGCCCCAUGAUAGGAAUCUUAAUCUAGAAAAUAACUUUUAGUCAAUAAAAAGUAGCACUAGUUGCGUACAAGGAGCUACCACUUGAUGACCUUCCACACUUCCACAUCCCAUAAGUUCAAUAGUUUUCACACUAUAAGAACUAGAUGUUUUUUUCCGCGUGAAUCAAUAAAAUUUUUAGUUUUAUGUUAUAAAACAUGAUUUUUUUCAUUUUGAUUUUAUUAAACUAAUUCACUAAGAAAAUUCAUAACGAAACAUAAGUUCUCAUUGAAAUACUGGAAAUAGUCACUUGGAAAUUUAUGAGUUUUAGGAAAUUAUGCAUCAAAACUUAGAAAGACGCGGCUCAUAUAGAAAUUUGUUGUUAAAUCAUAAUAUAUACUUUUACAUCUGAAUAUCUUUAUUGAUUUGGUUAAAAUUAUAAUUAAAAAAAUUACAAUACAAUAUAUAUAGAUUCACAUAAAUUUAAUACUGUAAGUUCAAUUAUUAUUCAAUUAUUAUUAUGAUAUAUUAAUCUAAAAUUAUUAUAGAAGCUUCUAAACUCUAAAUUCAGAUCCAACUAAGGAGUGAAUAUACAUAGUGGGGGUCUGGGGGAUGGGAGAAAACAUAUGGACGGUGUGACAAAUAAAUAAAAGAAAUACUCCGUCCAUUCCAUUUGACUUAGUAUUGUUUGACUUAAUACGAUGUAUAAGAGAAAAAAAAGAUUUUAGAAAAUUAUAGGCUAAAACAAUUUUUAUAUAUUUAUAUAAUUGUAAAUCAUUUCAUUAAUUAAGGGUAGAUGGAGAAUUUUAAGUUUAAUUAUUUUCAAUUACAAUAAAAUGACAUUUUUAAAGACGGAUUAUGAGAAUAGAGUGCCACGUAAAAUAAAACGAGAAAAUACUACUCCCUCCUUCCCAUUUUAUAUGUUACCUUUUUACUUUACAUUUACAUUAAGAAAUAAUGUAACUUUACCCUUCUACCCUUAUUUAAUGUUUUCUUAAGUUAACUUUAUAACUCCCUCCGUCCCAUUUUAUAUGUCAUCUCUUUCUAUAAAUAGUUGGACCACAAUACUUGUCAUUUUAUAAAAUUUAUGUAUAAAUUACCAUAUUUUACCUAUUAUAUCCUUGAUAGAGUAGUUAAUUAAUCUUGAAAAUAUAUUCAUCAUUUAUUAUAAAUUGACUUAAGAAAAUAUUAAAUAAGAAUAGAAAGAUAAAAUUACAUCAUUUCUUAAUAAAAGUAUAAAGUAAAAAUGUGACGUAUAAAAUAGAACGGAGGGAGUACUACAAAAGAACGAGUCCGCACAUGCAUUAUACAAGUACUACAUGUGUCUCGAAUUUAGCAGCCUUUUGUCAACUUUUUAUAUUUUGGCUUACUUGGAAGCAAGUCUAUCCUCUCCUAUACAAUCAAUUAGGGUGGCCAUUAAUCAUAUAUUAUUAGGCUAAAGAUAACAUAUUGCUCCCUCCGUUUUUAAUUAUUUAUCCAUUUUUUUAGUUAUUCCUAAUUACUUGUCUAUUUUUACAAAUCAAGAAAGAACAAUUUUUUUUACCUAUUAUACCGUCAAUUUAUUACUUUGAAAAAAGUAGAACUUUUUGAAAAUCUUGAGUUUUUAAUUCAUCCACUUCAUAAUUAAUAUGGAUAAAAUGGUAAACUCACUAUUUCAAUAAUUGUUUUCUUAAUAGGUGUGCCAAUUCAAAAAUGGACAAGUAAUUAGGGAUAGAGAAAGUAUAUCGAAAUAAUAUAAUAAGAUAUUAUGCUAAAGAUAAUUAACAAAACUUUGAACAAUUAUAAAUAAGAUAGCAAAAAAAUCCAUAGUAAAUUAACAUGGUUCAACGAUUAGUGAUGGAAUCUGAAUAUGAUUCAGGAUUUUCACUAUUAAUGAAAUUCAAAAGGAAUAAUACAUAAAUGUGCCCUUUAACUUGACUUCAUUUUAUGUUUAUGUCCUUCAACUUUGGGUAUACACAAAUAUGCACCUAAACUUGUAUAAAGUUGAACAACUAGACACAUGAGUCCUACAUGACACAAUACACAUAAGAUACCACGUAGGAUAAAAAAUGCCAUGUAGGACAUGUGUGUCUAUUUUUUCAACUUUAUACAAAUUUAAAUAUCUACUUGUGCACACCCAAAGUUGAAGGGCAUAAAUGUGAUUUGAAGCCAAGUUAAAGGGUAUAUUUAUGUAUUAUGCCUAUUCAAAAUAUGAAUAAAUAAACAUAUAAAUUAGCUGACUACAAUAAUAGACAGAUAAAAAAUAAUUUUAACUAUAUGUAUAAAUAAUAUAAUUUUUCAUCGAAAGAGGUUCAUCUGAUUCCUCACUACUUUCUCUCAUUCAAAACUAAGCAAUAUGAGACUUUCAUGUCACAUGGAACCCUUUUUUUUUUUUUUGGAAAUCUCAGUAGUUCAGUUAAUUGACUGACUAUCUGAAUUCUCGAUUUCCCAUGUUGUAAUCCUCUACCCCAAUUUUUUUAUUACCUUCCUCACAUAUGUAUAAGACCGAAUCCAAAUAUCUAAGAUGAGAGAAUUUUGGGAGAGCCACCGACUCCAACUACUGCCAUAUAUUAUCCAUAUUAGAUUUGACCAACUAUCCAUCCUACCCUCCUCUACGUUCUUGACAACCCAUUUUUGUCUUAGUCAAGUCUUUUAGUGGCACGUUUUGAUCCUCUUUUCAAUUACUUAGAAAAAGUGAGUUAUUAUUCAGAUACAAAAUACUAUCAUUAUCGCCUAAAAAAUUAGACAUUCAACCCGUAAUCACAAUGAUCCAAUUACAAAAGCUCCGAACCCCCUAGGUCUAGACUGGCUCUGGCCCUAGUUUUAUCUCUUGACCUUCACAUGAGUAAACUCGUUGAUAUAGAGGAUUACAGUAUUGAUUUCUUUAAAAGAAAAAAACCUUAAUUUAAGGUAUGGAGGCCUAGAAAGGAAACACACGUUAUAUAUGGAGCCUGUUCUGGCCUAUACAGUAUAUAUGUACAUAAAAUUUGGAGUAUCUAAAGAACCACUGACAAAUGGCUACGAAAGAUCAUAUACAAUUAAAUUACAAGCCAUUUGCAAUCAUCCUGCCACCUUAAGCAGAAAAAAUGAAAACGAAUAAAACAAACACUCACACAUUUGGCUUCUGAUUUGACAUUUAUUUCAGAGAACUGGCUAGUCCUCAGAACACCUUAACUACUCGCUGCAGAAAAAGAAAAAAAAGACGCAAAAAAUGGAAAAUAAUAUGUUAGAUGUCCCAUAAUUAAGGAACAAGAGAACAUUAUAGCAAGAAUGAGCAUGCAGGUACGUAUAAGAACUUACACAUUAUUGCGGCAAGAAGCAACUUCUUUCUCAAAGUCAUCAUCAUCAUCAUCAUCUUCAUCUGUUGUCACACUAUCGAAAAUGCUUGCAACAAAAGAUGAAAAAUGAAAUGUUACACUUCCCAAAAUCAAGAAUGAACAUGCAAGUAUAACAAGUUACAAAAUAUUGGAAGGAUUCGAAUCAAUCACAAUGACAGCAUCAAGAACUUUUGUUGAAUUGAUGCAAUUUGACUUACUAAAGCUAUUAUCCAGAUUAUUAUCGAGUUUACUAUGAUGAUGAGUUAAAUAUUGUUGUAAAUCAAGGAAGAAGAUGUCUUACAAAAGAUUCACGAGUAUGGACCUCGAUAGAGCUUCCAUAGUUGUCUUGAAUGUCCUGUUGAAUUUGCUUGGCGGAAUUCCCAACAGAUUGUUUACAGUCACUUAUAUCAAUAAGAGCUAGUGUGGUUAUAUCUGCAAAAUCUCGAGGGAUUGAAUCCAAAGAAUAGCAAUCUUUAAGAAAAAGUCGUUCAAGGUACGGAAAGUGAUCACUACUAGCUCUCCAGUACCGAAUGUAUACUCUAUCCAGAAACAAGAACUUUAAGUGAGGAAACCCUUCCUCAACUACUUCCCACUCCUCGCCUAUGAAGGCAUUGUCUGAUAGUUUAAGGACCUCGAGUUUGGAUAAUUUACCAACAAUGCUCAAAUCCUUCCAUGCCAAAGAAAAUUUUCCCCUAAAAGUUAAACUCUUAAGGUUUUGUGGAAAAGCAUCCGGAGGAGGUAAGAGUAAAGUUGGAACAUCAGUUGGAGGUGCAGUUCCCCCGAAACGAGUCUGAAACCUCAGAGGAUCUUGCGGAGUAGAACCUGAAGGUGCAGUGUUUUUUAGAAAGCAAGCAAUAGGUGAAUAAUAAAUACCAAAUGUCAAUUUCUCGAGCUGAUAUAAGUAGCGAAAAUCAUACAGGUCCUUGUGAUUGCGAAAGUCCUCUGGGACGCCAAAUACUUUCAACUUCUUUAAAUUGGGAAAUAGUCUAAAAAAAGACCCUGUACAAUACCGAGGAUUCAAUUGAUUGAGGCAUUGCAAACUUUUCAAAACCAAUCUGUUCUCUGUAGGCUCAUGACUCUGCAAGUAAUUCCAGCCCAUAUGCAGCUUCCUCAAUUGUGGCAUCGUCAAAAUUUCCGAUGGUAAUAUGAAAGGAUAACUACUAUUGGGAAAUGGAAGGUAAAGUUUAAAAGUUUGCAGAUAGCAUAGGCUUGAUAUCGAUAGAGGAAUGUCUAUUAUUGAUGAGGGAACAGCUUCUUUCGAUCCUCGAUACUGCUUUAAGCAAGGCUUAAAACACAAAGAUAGGUAUCUCAAAUGAAAUAGAGAAAGUACUCCACUGGGAAAAAAUGGGCAUAUAGUCAAACCAAGAUCUAGUACUCUUACUAGCUUGAAAGACAAUGCCAGUGUGACGCAUUUGAAUCCACCCAACAUGAUAAUAGAAUGAGCCUCACUGCUACAACACCAAACCAAUUUUUUCUCAUUAUGGAUUCUGAUCCGAUUUCGACUCUUAAAGGAACACUGCAUGGAUUGUUCACAUGAAUUUUGAUAACUCUUUCCUCUGAUAACAUUCACAAAAUUCAUGUUUCGAGCUUCCCUCAAACAGAGUUCACGGGUCACAUCAUGCAUUCCACAACUUUCUAUUGUUCCACGAAAACUAAAAUUGUGGAUGAAAAUUAAGCUUCUAUCUAUAAGUUCAUUUAUACAUGUUGUUGCCACCUCUUCUAUGCUUUUUCCCUCUUCUUCAUUCAAAAACCCCUCUACGGCCCAUAAUUCAACAAGUUUAUUUACAUAAAUCUGUUCAUCCUCUGCGAAAAUUGCAAAAUACAGAAAACACGGUUUUAGGUGAGAAGGCAAGUGAUGGUAACUCAAAGCCAACACUCUCAUGCACUUUGCUUCAAGAUCUGUGCUUACCACUGAACUUACAUUCUCCGCAACAUAUUGCCACACACCCAAUGUUUUACUGAUUUUGGAGAGAAGUCCAGCAAUCACAGUAAUUGCUAGAGGUAACCCUCCACAUUUUAAUGCAAUUUGUUUCCCAAUAUUUUCAAAUUCAGGAGAAUAAGAACCUUCUUUUUCAAAGAUCUUUUUGUGUAGUAAAUUCCAACUUUCGUCAAAAUUCAUGAGGCGCAUGUGAUGAGGAGGCUUACCUGACCUAGCACAUUCAGCCACUUCCACAUUCCGAGUAGUCAGGAGUAUUCUGCUUCCAUUAUAACAGUCUGGGAAACAUAGUUUUAUAUCAUCCCAAGCUUCUGUAGUCCAUAUGUCAUCAAUGACUACCAAGUAUCUCCUGCCUUUCAGAUGCUUCUGCAAUCGGUCCGCUAGCUGAUCAUCAGGUUCAUCACUUAUCGAAGGAAGAAGGCCUAGGAUUACAUUUCUCACACAAUACUCUUGUGAAACAGUUGCUUUUGCACGAAUAUCAAAUCGAGACAUAAUGUAAGGAUCACUAUAGAGUUUUGUAGCCAAAGUUGUUUUCCCGAUACCUCCCAUCCCUACGAUUGAGACAACUUCUAGUUCCCUUCCUCCUCUAGCAAGUUGAUCCAGCAUCAUCUCAAAUUCAUUUUCACGGCCAACCAUUAUAUUCUCGGGCUGCUCAACAGCAUGUUCAGGUAAACUGACAAGUGAGCUAGUUUGUGGUUUUAGAUCUUUCAUGCUGUCCGAUGCUGCCAUCCACUGUUUCACGGUGGAAGCAAUGCAUUCUAGUGCUUGUUCCAAGACGAAAAAAAUCUCCCACAUAGCCCUGCUUCUUUCCUCCAAAUUCUGUGCUAAAAAAACAUUUCUUGAUUCCGAGUCAACCAUAUCUUCUGUUGUGUAUGCUACCUCUGCGAUUUCAACUUCCAAGAUUGUUAACCCCUCAUGAUCGCCCAUUAUAUUGCAGGAUUUCUCCAGAAUAGCUCUCAAAGAUUUGAGCUUUUCAUAAAACGGUUGCAAAUCACAUCCAGUAAGUUCCAUUGAUUGAUGUAUGGUUCUCAUAAGGGAAGUAACAGCAGCAUAAGCCAUAUAUCCAAAAAAUAGAAAUAUCUCUCAGUAUGAAAAUGGACAAAUUGCCACAAGUUAUGUAAUUUUUCAGUUUUUAAGAAAACAGAAAAUGCAAAGUUCUUUCUUUUACUAGCUAUUUCCAUCACAUUUCCAGCUAGGUCCACCAACCUUAUCAUCAUGUAGACAAAAGCAGAGACCAAAGUUAAAAAAAAAAGAAAAAAGGCAGGACUCUAACAGGAAAAAGUAGAAAAAAUUGUGACCAUUCAUUAUUAGACCCUACACUUAUCUAUUCAUGAAUAUAGGUAUGUUUCUUACAUACAAGAGAUUGAUGAUUUUAAUUCCAUUGAAAGCAACUUCGUAGAAUUUUCCAAAUCAAAGAGAGAGAAAUAUUAAGAUCCAAGUAGGAAUUUCUCUAUUCCUAGUUCGAUUCAAUUAACCAAGCAUAAAUAUCUCUUUAAAUAUAUAUGAGAAGUUUAGACUCUAAAAGUCAAAUCAACAAAAUAUUUAUGGGCUAACACAUGAAAAACUAUUGAGAAAAUUGCCUAAUUUCUGUAAAUUGGCCCUUAAAUCUCCAAAAUGGACUCUAAAAAUUGUCAGACUGUACGUAUUGCUCCCAACUCCCUACUAAGGGUUCUGUAAUUUCGAUUAGAAUUCGCCCGUAAGUCAUAUCACCAAUAUAUUAAUGACUAACACACACGAAAAACUAAGAAAAUUGUCUAAUUUCUUGAAAUUGGCCCCUAAAUGCCUAAAAUGGACUCUAAAAAAUUGUCAGACUGUACGUAUUGCUCCCAACUACCUACUAAGGGUUCUGUAAUUUCGAUUAGAAUUCGCCCGUAAGUCAUAUCACCAAAAAUAUUAAUGGGCUAACACACACAAAACACUGAGAAAGUCGCCUAUUCCUGUAAAUUGGCCCCUAAAUGCCCAAAAUGAACUCUAAAAUUGUGAGACUAUGUACUGCUCCACUAACUCCCUAUGGAGGGUUCCGUAAAGAUUUCACAAAGAAAUUAUUCGGAAGAUAUAUCACCAAAAUAUUUAUGGGCUAAUACAUUUUUAUUUGUCCAUUUGAUUUGAUAUAUCUUUCAAGUACUUUGAUCCGGUUAUACUUUUUUUUUAUUGCUAAAAAUAAAUAUCCACUUUUACUUGUUCAUUCUACAAAACAAAGACAAUAUUUUAUUGCUUGAUUCAGAUAUAAAAUUUGAGUAGGCUAAUUUACAAACCAUCUGUAGUCAUCCUGCCCCUAUGCUAUAACAUUUGAAAGAAAGAGGUCAUCAUCAUCAUAUUCAUCAUCGUUGUCAUCUUCAUCUUCAUCUUCAUCAUCAUCUUCAUCUUCAUCAUCAUCUUCAUCAUCAUCUUCAUCUUCUUCAUCAUUAUCAUCAUCAUCAUCAUGAUCGUCAUCGUCACUUGUUUCCUCACUGUUGAAAAAGCCAGCAACAAAAGAUGAAAAAUGAAAUGUUAUGCAAGUAUAACAAGUUACACAAUUACUAUAUUGGAAGGAUUUAAAUCAUAUACAAUGACAACGUAUGAACUUUUACACUAUAGGUGCCAUUUAACUGCUUAUUAAAGCAACUUAUAAUUAUUUUAUUACUAGUUCUGGACACAUGCUUUGCAUGUGUAUAUUACACGUUUAGUCACGAUUGUAAGAGGGUGUACACCAGGAUCAUUCGAAGAGCAAAGUCGUGUGAGCCUUACAGAUAUUCUUGACGUACUCCUAUUAAAAUCUGUAUCAUAAUAUCUGAUGAAAUCAGCUACUGAUCAGUCAAGCUCUCCAUUGAUGUAGACUUCAACUACACAUGAGAAAGAAUGAGAGAAGAAGAGAGAAGAGAAGAGAAGAAGAAUCUAGAAGAGCAACAUGAAAAUUAAUCUCUCAUUGAAUGUGAAUUAAAACUACAAGAAUUACAAUGUGACUAUAUAUAUAUAAUCACUGGCAGAAAUUAACUAACUAACAAACUUGAUUCUAACUAACUCUACUGUACAUAGAUUCUAACUAACUCUACUGUACAUAACCGACUCUACUGUACAUAACUAACUAAUUAUACUUUAUAUUCUCAUCACCCCCCCUCAAGUUGGAGGUGAUGUAAUUACAGACAACUUGUGCAAUAAGGCAGUAUGUUUAACUCCAGUCAGAGCCUUGGUGAAGAUGUCUGCCAACUGUGAAUCAGUGGGAAUAUGAUGGAGUGUGAUUAGGCCUUGUUGAAGCUUGGUCCUAACAAAGUGACAAUCGAUUUCUAUGUGCUUUGUCCUCUCAUGAAAAACUGGAUUCUUUGCAAUGUGGACUGCUGCUUGACUGUCACAAUGGACAGGGAUAGGUAAGGAGCAUUGUACAGUCAACUCAUCCAACAAUCGUUCAAGCCACACUAGUUCUCCUACAACUUGUCUCACAGCUCUAUAUUCAGCUUCAGCAGAUGACAAAGACACUGUUGCUUGCUUCUUAGACUUCCAGCUGACAGGACUAUCACCCAGAAGCACUAGGUAUCCACUAACAGACUUCCUGGAAUCAGGGCAAGCAGCCCAAUCAGAAUCACAAUAAGCACUGAUAGUGAGAUCAGGCUUGUUUGAGAUAAAAAUUCCCAAUGUUGGAUCCUGUUUCAAAUAUCUGAGCACAUGGUAUGCUGCUUUUAAAUGUGGUUCCCUAGGUGAUUGCAUAAAUUGGCUCAAGUGUUGUAUACUAUAAGCUAUGUCCAUUCUAGUGUUGGUCAAAAAAUUUAGCUUACCAACCAACUUCCUGUAUUGAGUAGGAUCAGAUAAAAGAUUGCCAUCUGUAGCUGUUAACUUCUCAGUGCAAUCAAGUGGUGAUGUAGUGGCCUUGUGACUUAACACAUCAAAAUCUUUCAGGAGAUCAGAAGUGAAUUUCCUUUGUGAAACUAGCACUCCAUCAUGUCUGUAUAAUAUUUCCAGUCCCAGAAAGUAGUGUAGUUUGCCCAAAUCCUUUAUCUUGAACUGAUCAUUUAAGAAGCUCUUUAAGGAGUUGAUUUCAGCCACAUCUGUUCCAGUUAGAAUUAUGUCAUCCACAUAUACAGCAACAAACACCAAGGAGCAGCCCUUCCUUUUGUAGAACAGUGAGUAAUCACUGUCUGAGUGCUGAUACCCUCUUGAACAUAGACAGUUUGCCAACUUCUCAUACCAUUGCCUGCUGGCCUGUUUUAGUCCAUACAAAGACUUCUUCAAUUUGCACACCAUGUUAUCACAACCUACUACAAGACCUUGUGGAGGUGCCAUGUACACUUCCUCAUGCAAAUCACCAUGUAAGAAUGCAUUAUUGACAUCUAGCUGAUACAAGCUCCAAUCUUUCUUAACAGCUAAAGAGAUUAAUGUUCUAACAGUAGUCAUUUUAACUACAGGUGAGAAGGUUUCAGUGUAAUCUACCCCAACUUGUUGUGUAUAACCUUUGACCACCAACCUACACCCCAGCUUGUUGUGUAUAACCUUUGACCACCAGCCUAGCCUUGAACCUCUCCACACUCCCAUCAGCUUUGUGCUUGAUUUUGUACACCCACUUGCACCCAAUAGCUUUCUUCCCAUCAGGUAACAUGACCAUCUCCCAAGUGUCAUUAGCAUACAAAGCUUCAAACUCCUGUGUCAUGGCCUGCUGCCAGGCAGGGUGCAAUAUUGCUUCCUCAAAUGAAAUAGGCUCACAUUCAUGUGAAAUGGUUGUUACUAACUGCUGACUAUCAGAACAAAGACUGGUGAAACAUACAUGUUUAUGGGGAGAUAUAAAGGAAGUGAGGGAGUGCAGCUUAGGUAUAGUGUAGGUGUAUUCUUUUAGGUAAUUAGGAGUGUGUAUGGUUCUGGUUGUUCUUCUAGGUGCUGAUAUUGUAGGUACUGGUAAAGUAUCAUGAUGCAUGGUGGCAUUUGGAUCAGGUAAGGUAGGUUGAGUUGUAGUAGGUUGAGUUGUAGGUUCAUGUAGGACAGCAGGUGGUACUUCAUUCAUGUUGGUAUUACUGGUUACUUGAUUAUUAGUGACUUCAUGUGGUGUGAAAUUUUCCAGUUGAUCAUCAUUAGCAAAAAUGUUCAUUUUACCAGACAUACAAGGCAUGCUAGUGGUAUGAGUAAGCAUUUGCAGAAUGGAAUUGAAACUAGAACCAUCAGGGGCAAUAACAAAAGGAAAAAUAUUUUCUUGAAAAAUAACAUCUCUUGAUAUAUGAACUUUCUUGGUAGCUAAAUUCAAAACUUUGUAACCUUUUGUAUUGAAAGGGUAACCAACAAAAACAUGAGGUGUGGUUCUAGGUUCAAAUUUAUCUUUGUGAGUUUUCAAGGUAGUGGGGAAACAAAGACAACCAAAACUCUUAAGGUGGGAAUAUGUAGGUGAUUUAUGGUACAACAUUUCAUAUGGAGAUUUAUUCUGUAAAAGUUGAGUGGGCAGUCUAUUAAUCAGGUAUGUGGCAGUCAAUACACAUUCCCCCCAGUACCUCAUAGGCAACUUUGACUGAAACAAAAGUGCCCUUGCUGUUUCAAGUAGGUACUUAUGUUUCCUUUCUACCACCCCAUUUUGUUGAGGUGUAUAAGGACAAGUUCUUUGGUGUAUGAUACCUUGUUUUGGAAGAAAUUUGUGGCUUCAGCUGAAGUAAACUCUAACCCAUUGUCAGAUCUUAUGGCUUUUUAACUUGGUUUGGAAUUGGUUUUCUAUGAGAGAUAUGAAGGCUUUGAUAGUUUGGAGAGCAUUACUCUUACAUCUCAGCAAUUGUGUCCAAGUGGACCUACUGUGGUCAUCUACCAUAGUGAGGAAAUAAUGAUAUCCAUCAUGAGUGGGAACAUGAUAUGGUCCCCAUAGGUCAACAUGUAACAACUCAAACACUUUAGUGGUGGUGGUGAUACUUUCUGGAAAAGGCAUCCUAGUUUGCCUAGCCAUAGGGCAUAUAUUGCAAGUAAAAGGCUGUUUAGGAGAAAAAUGAACAGGUAUAGUUGAGAUAUUUUUCAUUUUUACAAAAGGUACAUGUCCUAAUCUAGCAUGCCACAAAAGUUCAUCAUCAUGAGUGUGAUUAGAGACAUUUGUAAAUGAAGGACAAGCAUGAGUAAAACAAGAGGAAGGAAAAACAGUACAAUCUGCCUUAUUCAUAGGAGAGUAUUUUACAGAAGAACCAGUGGACACAUUAGAAUCUGAAACCCUGCUAGUAUUGCCUAAAGAAGAGACAAGAGGACAAUUAACAUGAGGUGCUUUACUCUCAGCAGAUGGACAACAAUUGUGGCAUUUGUGACACAAGAAGUACAGGCCAUUCUUGGCUUUACCAAGUUCCAGAGGGCUCUUCAGAGAAGGGCCCUGCAGCAAACAAGAAGAUUUGUCAAAGCUGACUACACCAUUGAAUUGUAGUGCUAAACAAUGAACAGAAAUGAGAUUAAACUUGAAGCUAGGUACAAACAACACUUUGCUUAGAGUCAAAGCUGGAUUUAAACAAGCAUCACCAAUUUCAGUCACUUUAACCUUGUAACCAUUAGGGAGUGAAAUUAGAAAGGGAUAUGGAAGUGAAAUGAUGUUUGUGAGGGUGGUCUUAUCAUAGGUCAUAUGGUGUGAUGCUCCUGAAUCUAUGAUCCAAGAGCCAGCAGUCAGUUUAACACAUUUACAAGAAAGAUCACCUAUAUCAGUAAUAGAGGAAUAACAUGCAAGUAUACCUGCCAAGUUCACAGCUCCAUUCAGCAUGUUGUUUGAGUUGUCUGAGGCUCCAUUUCCAACUUGUAAAGUUCCCAGGAGAUUGAGUAGUUGUUCAUAUUGAUCUUUGGACAAGUUCAAUGGCAUUUGUCUCCUUACUUCAGGUUCCUCUUCAGAUUGAACUCCAUUCAUAUCAGGGGCACACACAUUUGCUGCAGCUUUUCCCUUUUUGAACCUUGGAUUUGGAUUGGAUGGGUAUCCAUGAAGCUUGUAACAUCUAUCCUUUGUGUGUCCUGAUUUCUUACAGUAGUCACAAAACAAAGAAGACUUGCCAGUGCUAGAAUUGCCUCUAAACCCAGUAUUACCAGAAUUGGUUCCACCUCCUCCAGAUGAACUGUAGUUUGUCCGGAAUCCCCUGUAUCCUGCACUGCUGUUGGUCUGUCCAUAAGCAUUGAGAGAGGUAGAAUCCAAGGCUGUAUGAUUAUGAGGCUUCACCUCCCUUUGUUUUUCCUCUUGGGAUAAUAUGGCAAAAGCUUGAGCCAUGCUUGGAAGUGUGUUCAUCAUGAGAAUGCUGCCUCUGACAGUCGUAUAUAUCUCAUUCAAUCCCAUUAGAAAAUGUAUCAAUCUUCUGUCUUGUUCAGCCUUGUGUAAUUUGCUUUUACCCCCACAAAUGCACACACAAGUACACUGAGAAUUGACAUCAAUGGUACUCAUUUCCUCCCACAACUUCUUCAUUCUUGUGUAAUAUCCAGUGAUGUCUAAAGUGCCUUGGACCAGAUCAUUAAUUUCCUUCUGCAGUUGAUACAAUUUACACCCAUUGGUUUGAUCGUACCUUUCUUCUAGUUCUCCCCAAAGCUCCUGAGCAUUAUUGACAUACUGCAGACUAUCACGCAAAUCUGGUGACAAGGAAUUCAGGAUCCAAGAUGUGACCAUAUCAUCACACCUUUCCCAUUGCUGAAAGCUAGGAUCAGUAGGAUCAGGUCUCACAACCUUCCCAUUAAUGAAUCCUGUCUUGCUCUUAACAGAUAAAGCCCUGAGAACUGCUCUUCUCCAGGAUCUGUAACCAGUUCCAUCAAAAACUGCAGGUAAUAGGGAUGAACUUGCAUUCUCAGAUGGAUGCAAGUAGAAAGGACUAGGGAUUUCUACCCUAACAGUGGAUGCAGAAGCAUUUGGAAUGGAAUCAUUUGAAGAAUCGACCAUUGUGAAUUGAAAAUUGGGAAGAAGAUCAAGUCGAGAACAACCAGAUCAAACAGCGUUCACAAACAAAAUUGACAGAUCGAAGAUCCAGUCGAGAUCAACCAGAUCAAAGAAAAAAUUCACAUAAGAGAAAACGAAGCUCACAGAUUGAAUUGGAAACAAAAAAAAACAGGAGCAAUUCCCUGUGCUUUGAUACCAUGAUGAAAUCAGCUACUGAUCAGUCAAGCUCCUCCAUUGAUGUAGCUUCAACUCACAUGAGAAAAGAUGAGAGAAGAAGAGAGAAGAGAAGAGAAGAAGAAUCUAGAAGAGCAACAUGAAAAUUAUCUCUCAUUGAAUGUGAAUUAAAGAAGUGAGUAUUACAAUGUAUCUGUAUAUAUACACAAUCACUAAGCAACUAAUAAUCAUUGGCAGAAAUUAACUAACUAACAAACUUGAUUCUAACUAACUCUACUGUACAUAACCGACUCUACUGUACAUAACUAACUAAUUAUACUUUAUAUUCUCAUCAAUAUCCCUUUUUUCAAAUUUCAUAGCUGAACUACUAGGUGUGCGAGUUCCUACCAGAACUAUUACCAACUAUUUAUCAAAACACACAUCAACUAUAUAUGAGUUGUUCCCUUUUACUAGUGGUGAAAAAUAGGUGGAUUUGGACGGGACUGAAAAUGGAUUGAGCAACAUGGUCGUAACUCACUUUAAUCUCUUAAAGCCAGAAAACUUUAAAGAGUUAAUUGAAAUAAACUUAAUGACUAUCCUACUUGAAGUAUCACCAUCGUUCAGGUAAGAAAAAGGAAGUAAAUCAAGGAAGACGAUGUCUUACAAAGCCUGAUGGAUAUGGACCUCGAUAGAACCUCCAUAGUUGUCUUGAAUGUCCUGUUGAAUCUGCUUUGCGGAAUUCCCAACAGAUUCUGGGCAGUUUCUUAUAUCAAUUAGAGCAAGUGUGGUUAUAUCUGCAAAAUCUUGAGGGAUUGAGUCCAAAAACCUGCAACUAUCAAGAAAUAGUCGUUCAAGGCACGGAAAGUGAUCACAACUAGCUCUCCAGUACUGAAUAUGUGAUCUUUUAAGUAACAAGAACUUCAAAAAAGGAAACCCUUCCUCAGCUACUUCCCACUCCCUGCCUCUGCAUACACCCUGUGUUAGUUCAAGAAGUUCAAGUUUGGGCAAUUUUCCGACAACAAUGCUUAAAUCCUUCCAUGACAAGAAGAAAUUUCCUGUAAAAGUUAAAUUCUUAAGGUUUCGUGGAAAAGCAUCUGGAGGAGGUAAGAUCAAAGAUGGAACAACUUCUACAACAAGUGGAUUCCUUGUCUGAAAACACAUUCUCCUCUCCAAAAAGUAAGCAUUAUUUUGAGGAGGAAGACAAAAUGCUAGUUCCUCGAGAUGAUCUAAGUAGCGAAAAUCAUAGAGGUCUUUGUGACUAUGGAAGUCUUGUGGGAUGCCACGUACUUGCAACUCCUUUAAAUUGGGAAAUAGUCUAAAGAAAGAUGCAGUACAAUAGCUAGGAUUCCAUCCAAACAGAGAAUGUAAAUUUUUCAUAACCAAACUUUUCUCUGUAAGCUCAUGAUAUCGCAAGUAAUUCCGAUCCAAAUGAAGGUGCCUCAACUGUGGCAUAGUCAAAAUUUCUGAUGGUAAUAUCAAAGCAUGUUUACGAAGAUUAAUAACGAGUGGAAGGUAAAGUACCAAACUUUGCAGAUAGCAUAGGUUUGAUAUGGAUGUAGGAAUGUCUACUCUUGAUGAGAGAACAUCUUCUUCGGAUCCUAGAUAUUGCUCAACGUUAGGAUAAAUACGCAAAGCUAGGUGUCUUAAGUGAAUCAAAUAAAGUAUUUCACGGGGAAAAGUUAGACAGAUAUUAUCAGCAAGAUCUAGAACUCUUACUAGCUUGAACGGCAAGUACUCCCUCAUGCAACAUCGGAAUCUACCAAAUAAGAUAACAGAAUGAGCUUCACUGUUAAGGCACCUAACAUACUCUUUCUUAUUAUGGAUGCUGAUUCGACCUCGACUCUUAGACAAACACUGCAUAGAUUUCACACAUGGAUUUUGAUCAUUCUUACUUCCGAGAACAUUCACAAAAUUCAUGUUACGAGCUUCCAUCAUACAGAGUUCACGAGUCGUAUCAUGAAUUCCACAACACUUAAUUUUUCCAUCAAAAGUAGUACUUUCUAUGGAAAUUAAACUUCUAUCAAUAAGAUCUUGUAGGUACUUUUCUGCCACUUCUUCUAUGCUUUUCAUCUCUUCUACCUUCAAAAAUCCCUCUGUUUCCCACAAUAUCAUAAGUUUAUUGACAAAAAUCAGUUUAUCCUCUGGGAAGAUUGCGAAAUAUAAAAAGCAUGGUUUUAGGUGGUGAGGCAAGUAAUGGUAACUCAUUGCCAACACCCUCAUGCAUUGGACACCAACAUCUGUGCUUACUGCUGAACUUACAUUUUCAGCAACACUUUGCCACUCACUCAAUGCUUUGUCAAUUUUAGUGAGAAGUCCCGCGAUCACAACAAUUGCUAGAGGCAAUCCUCCGCAUUUCAAUGCAAUUUGCUUUCCAAGUUGUUCAUAUUCAGGGGAGAAAGAGUCUUUCGUAAAGACUUUUUCAUACAAUAAACUCCAACUUUCGUCAAAAUUCAUGAGGCGCAUGUGAUAAGGAGGCUUACCUGAGCUAGCAUAUUCAGCCACUUCCACAUUCCGAGUAGUCAAGAGUAUUCGGCUUCCAUUAUGAAAGUCUGGGAAACAUAUUUGUAUAUCAUCCCAAGCUUUUGUAGUCCAUAUGUCAUCAAUGACUACCAAAUAUCUCUCACCUUUUAGAAGCUUUUGUAGUCGAUCUGCUAGUUGCCCGUCAUGUAGCUGAUCAUAAGGUUUAUCACUUAUACAAGAAAGAAGGUCUAGGAAAACAUUUCUCACACAAUACUCUUGUGAAACAGUAGCUUUAGCACGAAUGUCAAAACGAUACAUCAUGCAUGGAUCGUUGUAGAGUUUCGUAGCCAAAGUUGUCUUGCCAAUGCCUCCCAUACCUACAAUUGAUACAACUGCUAGUUCUCUUUCUCCUCUAGCAAGUUGAUCCAGCAUCAUCUUGAAUUCAUUUUCAUAGCCAACCAUUAUAUCCUCGGACCGCUCAACAGCACGUUCAGGUAUCUUGGAUAGACAAAAAUUUUGUGCUUUGAAAUCUUUAAAGUUGUUGUACCAGUCCCAUAUUGCCAACCACUGCAUCAUGAAGGAAUCAAUGCAUUCUACCUCUUGUUCCAAGGAACAACAGAGUUCCCAGAAAGCUUUGCUUCGUGUAAUUACAGUUUCUGCGGAAGAAACUUUUCUUGAUUUCGAAUCAACCAUGUCUUCUGCUUUGUAUGCUACCUCCGCGAUUUCAACUUCCAAGGUUGUUAACCCCUCAUGAUCUCCCGUUAUAUUGCAGGAUUUCUCCAUAAUAGCUCUCAAAGAUUCAAGCUUUUCAUAGAAUGGUUGCAAAUCACAUCCAGUAAGUUCCAUUGACUGGUGUAUGGUUCUCAUAAGGGAAGUAACAGCAGCAUAAGCCAUAUAUCCAAAAAAUAGGAAUCUCUCACACUCAGUAUGAAAAUGGACAAAUUAAUUGCCACAAGUUAUGUAAUCUUUCUUUUACUAACUAUUUCCAUCACAUUUCUAGCUAGGUCCACUAACAGGUAAAGUAGAAAGAUGUGAGGUCCCUAACCUUAUCAUCAUGUAGACAAAAGAAGAGACCAAAGUUUUUAAAAAAAAGACAGGAAAAAGUAGAAAAAUUUGUGAUCAUUCAUUAUUAGACCCUACACUAAUCUCUUUAGAAAAAUAAACUAAAAUUUUAGUUUAAAUAAAGGAGUUCAAGCUGUAUAUUGAUAACGCCCAAUUCAAAUUCAAGUGUAGUACGGUCUAGCAAUAAUAAACUCAACAAAUGUUGGGGUCGAGGAGUAUGCUUGUGUCAAGGUGACAGAGAAUGCGAAUUUGCGAAUUUCCUAAGCUUAUCUACAAAUAAAAGGUCUUUCUUUUAGCUAGGUCCAUAAUCCAUGUAGUGCUCUCUACUCUCUAGUCUCUAUCAACCAACUCAAGUUUAAGGGUGUGUUUGGUAUGGAGGAAACAUUUUCUCUAGAAUAGGGAGAGUUUUGUGCAUAAACAAAGAAGAAUAUCUCAGUAUAACAGUGAAUGUGUAUUUUUUUUAUGAUUUGCUUCAUUUGAGUAUGACUUUUGUAAGAAAAUUCUGGUAAAAGUUUAAAAAAUGAUCUUGUGGAAUAAGCACAGUGAAUUCCUUAAUAUUCGAGUAGAAAAAGCCAGGGAGGAUAACAUUGCUAUUUGUACACUUAUCGUGACACGAGUAGUCUCUUAAAUAUUACACCUUUCUACUGGUGUUGCUGGUGCCACUGAAUUUAGCCUUCCGUCUUCCUUUGCGAGGUAGAUUGAGGACUCCCAAGAAAGGAAACACAAGGUACUGGAGUCUGUUCCGGCCUCUACAGUAUGUAUGUACAUAAAAUUUGGAGUAACUAAAAAACCACUGACAAAUGGCUAUACGAAAGAUCAUAUACAAUUUAAUUACAAGCCAUUUGCAAUCAUCCUGCCCCUUUAUGCAGAAUCUUUUCAAAGAAAAUGAAAACAAACACUCACACAUUUGGCUUCUGAUUGACAUUUAUUUCAGAGAACUGGCUAGUCCUCAGAACACCUUAACUACUCGCUGCAGAAAAAAAAAGACGCAAAAAAUGGAAAAUAAUAUGUUAGAUGUCCCAUAAUUAAGGAACAGGAGAACAUUAUAGCAAGAAUGAGCAUGCAGGUAUAAGAACUUACACAUUAUUGCGGCAAGAAGCAACUUCUUUCUCAAAGUCAAUAUCAUCAUCUUCAUCUAUUGUUACACUACAUCGAAAAUGCUUGCUACAAAAGAUGAAAAAUGAAAUGUUACACUUCCCAAAAUCAAGAAUGAGCAUGCAAGUAUAACAACUUACACAAUAUUGGAAGGAUUCGAAUCAAUCACAAUGACAGCAUCAAGAACUUUUGUUGAAUUGGUGUAAUUUGACUUACUAAAGCUAUUAUCCAGAUUAUUAUCGAGUUUACUAUAAUGAUGAGUUAAAUAUUGUUGUAAAUCAAGGAAGAAGAUGUACUUACUAAAGAUUACGAGUAUGGACCUCGAUAGAGCUUCCAUAGUUGUCUUGAAUGUCCUGUUGAAUUUGCUUGGCGGAAUUCCCAACAGAUUGUUGACAGUAACUUAUAUCAAUAAGAGCUAGUGUGGUUAUAUCUGCAAAAUCUCGAGGGAUUGAAUCCAAAUAAUAGCAACUUCUAAGAAAAAGUCGUUCAAGGUACGGAAAGUGAUCACUACUAGCUCUCCAGUACCGAAUGCAUACUUCAUGCAGAAACAAGAACUUCAAGUGAGGAAACCCUUCCUCAACUACUUCCCACUCCUCGCCUAUGAAGGAUUUCCAUGAUAGUUUAAGGACCUCGAGUUUGGGUAAUUUACCAACAAUGCUCAAAUCCUUCCAUGCCAAAAAGAAUUCUCCGCUAAAAGUUAAACUCUUAAGGUUUUGUGGAAAAGCAUCCGGAGGAGGUAAGCGUAAAGUUGAAACAUCAGUUGGAGGUGCAGUUGCCCUGAAAGGUAAGAGUAAACUUGUAUAAAGUUGAACAACUAGCCACAUGAGUCCUACAUGACACAAUACACAUAAGACACCAACUAUUUCCAUCACAUUUCCAGCUAGGUCCACUAACAGGAUAAAGUAGAAAGAUGUGAGGUCACUAACCUUAUCAUCAUGUAGACAAAAGAAGAGACCAAAGUUAAAAAAAAAAAAGACAGGAAAAAGUAGAAAAAUUUGUGAUCAUACAUUAUUAGACCCUACACUAAUCUCUUUAGAAAAAUAAGUUUCAAUAAAGGAGUUCAAGCUGUAUAUUGAUAACGUCCAAUUCAAAUUCAAGUGUAGUACGGUCUAGCAAUAAUAAACUCAACAAAAGUUGGGGUCGAGGAGUACACUUGUGUCAAGGUGACAGAGAGUGUUCUGGCCUAUACAGUAUGUAUGUAUGUACAUAAAAUUUGGAGUAUCUAAAGAACCACUGACAAAUGGCUAUACGAAAGAUCAUAUACAAUUAAAUUACAAGCCAUUUGCAAUCAUCCUGCCACCUUAUGCAGAAAAAAUGAAAAUUCUGAUUUGACAUUUAUUUCAGAGAACUGGCUAGUCCUCAGAACACCUUAACUACUCGCUGCAGAGAAAAAAAAAAGACACAAAAAAUGGAAAAUAAUAUGUUAGAUGUCCCAUAAUUAAGGAACAAGAGAACAUUAUAGCAAGAAUGAGCAUGCAGGUAUAAGAACUUACACAUUAUUGCGGCAAGAAGCAACUUCUUUCUCAAAGUCAUCUUCAUCUGUUGUUAUAUCGAAAAUGCUUUCUACAAAAGAUGAAAAAUGAAAUGUUACACUUCCCAAAAUCAAGAAUGAACAUGCAAGUAUAACAAGUUACACAAUAUUGGAAGGAUUCAAAUCAAACACAAUGACAGCAUCAAGAACUUUUGUUGAAUUGGUGCAAUUGGACUUACUAAAGCUAUUAUCCAGAUUAUUAUCGAGUUUACUAUGAUGAUGAGUUAAAUAUUGUUGUAAAUCAAGGAAGAAGAUGUCUUACAAAAGAUGACGAGUAUGGACCUCGAUAGAGCUUCCAUAGUUGUCUUGAAUGUCCUGUUGAAUUUGCUUGGCGGAUUUCCCAACAGAUUGUCGACAGCUACUUAUAUCAAUAAGAGCUAGUGUGGUUAUAUCUGCAAAAUCUGGAGGGAUUGAAUCCAAAUCAUAGCAAUUUCUAAGAAAAAGUCGUUCAAGGUACGGAAAGUGAUCACUACUAGCUCUCCAGUACCGAAUGUAUAUGUUAUCCAGAAACAAGAACUUCAAGUGAGGAAACCCUUCCUCAACUACUUCCCACUCCUCGCCUAUGACGGCAUUGUCUGAUAGUUUAAGGACCUCGAGUUCGGGUAAUUUACCAACAAUGCUCAAAUCCUUCGAUGCCAAAAAGAAUUCUCCGCUAAAAGUUAAACUCUUAAGGUUUUGUGGAAAAGCAUCCGGAGGAGGUAAGAGUAAAGUUGGAACAUCAGCUGGAGGUGCAGCUUUCCCGAAUUGUGUCUUUUUGUACAAUAAUUUCGUCUGAAACCUCAGAGGAUCUUGCGGAGUAGAACCUGAAGGUGCAGUGCUUUCUAGAACGCAAGCAGCACCUGGAUAAUAAACACGAAAUGCCAAUUUCUCGAGCUGAUAUAAGUAGCGAAAAUCAUACAGGUCCUUGUGAUUGCGAAAGUCCUCUUGGACGCCAAAUACUUUCAACUUCUUUAAAUUGGGAAAUAGUCUAAAAAAAGACCCUGUACAAUUCCGAGGAUUCAAUUGAUUGAGACAUUGCAAACUUUUCAAAACCAAUCUGUUCUCUGUAGGCUCAUGACUCCGCAAGUAAUUCCAGCCCAUACGCAGCUUCCUCAAUUGUGGCAUCGUCAAAAUUUCCGAUGGUAAUAUGAAAGGAUAACUAUCGGUAAAUGGAAGGUAAAGUUUAAAAGUUUGCAGAUAGCAUAGGCAUGAUAUCGAUAGAGGAAUGUCUAUUAUUGAUGAGGGAACAGCUUCUAUCGAUCCUCGAUACUGCAGUAAGCAAGGAUUAAAACACAAAGAUAGGUAUCUCAAAUGAAUUAGAGAAAGUACUCCACUGGGAAAAAUUGGGCAUGGAGUCCAACCAAGAUCUAGUACUCUUACUAGCUUGAAAGACAAUUCCAGUGUGAUGCAAUUGAAUCCACGCAACAUGAUAAUAGAAUGAGCCUCACUGUUACGACACCAAGCCAAUUCUUCCUCCUUAUAGAUACUGAUCCGACUUCGCUUCUUAAAGGAACACUGCAUGGAUUGUGCACAUGAAUUUUGAUCACUCUUUCCUCUGAUAACAUUCACAAAAUUCAUGUUUCGAGCUUCCCUCAAACAGAGUUCACGGGUCACAUCAUGCAUUCCACAGCUCUGUAUUUCCCCAUCAAAACUCAAUUUGUGGAUAGAAAUUAGACUUCUAUCUACAAGUUCGUUUAUACAUGUUUCUGCCACCUCUUCUAUGCUUUUUCCCUCUUCUUCAUUCAAAAACCCCUCUACGGCCAAUAACUCAACAAGUUUAUUUACAAAAAUCCGUUCAUCCUCUGCGAAAAUUGCAAAAUACAGAAAACACGGUUUUAG
rnacentral:lncRNA from 1 species